rnacentral:miRNA from 1 species
AUUCUGCAUUUGUAACAAGCU